UGGAUUAAGAGCUUGCUCUUAUGAAGUUAGCGGCGGACGGGUGAGUAACACGUGGGUAACCUGCCCAUAAGACUGGGAUAACUCCGGGAAACCGGGGCUAAUACCGGAUAACAUUUUGAACUGCAUGGUUCGAAAUUGAAAGGCGGCUUCGGCUGUCACUUAUGGAUGGACCCGCGUCGCAUUAGCUAGUUGGUGAGGUAACGGCUCACCAAGGCAACGAUGCGUAGCCGACCUGAGAGGGUGAUCGGCCACACUGGGACUGAGACACGGCCCAGACUCCUACGGGAGGCAGCAGUAGGGAAUCUUCCGCAAUGGACGAAAGUCUGACGGAGCAACGCCGCGUGAGUGAUGAAGCUUUCGGGUCGUAAAACUCUGUUGUUAGGGAAGACAAGUGCUAGUUGAAUAACUGGCACCUUGACGGUACCUACCAGAAAGCCACGGCUACUACGUGCCAGCAGCCGCGGUAAUCCUAGGUGGCAAG
rnacentral:rRNA from 1 species